UGUACAAGGGACCCCUAAGGCUCCAGCCGGUGCCUUUUCACCCACUGGUCUCAACCCCUUUCCUGCCUCUAGGCUGUUCACACAAGCAACACUCUUCCACGAAGAGCAGAGCGGCUCUCACUGGAUGUGGUGAUCCUUACUGGGGAAGACAGUCACAGCAGAGAGAUUCAAUCCCCAGGAGAUUCCUGCUAGACCUCACGUCUAACAUGUCCUAGAGCGUGGCCCACGUGAUACAGGUAUACGUGAGAGCUUGGUCUGGAGCCCUGGUGUCUAAGCAAUUGGAUGCCUAUUACUGUUGCAAAGCCAGCCUCUGCGACUUGUGUCCCUGUGACCGUCCACCCCACCCCCAGCCUGCCCCAGACACAGUGCUUAGCACAGAGAGGUUGUCUAUACUGGUCUGCCUGCUAGAACGAAGUAUGCACCCAUCUGCUGGGGGUAGUUACUCCGGGGGAAUGGCCCAAUGGCCAUGCCUGGGGUGUGGGGCCAAGGAAAAUGAAGACAGGGAACCCUGUUGGAUGGACUUCUGGCUCUAACUUCAGCAGUGCACAUUCUGCUUCUAGGCAGUGCUUUCAGGGAACUUUCCAGACAUGUACUCAUUGAUGGCAUGUUGGUAACACUCAGCAAGAUUUAACACAGCUGAUCCUGGGUAGUAGGUCUUAUAGCCCCUCACUGACUCAGGUCUCAUCUCAAAACCAGAAAUAAAAAUGCCUGCGCUUCUAGUCCUUUAUAACUACCAAAUUAGCUCCUGAGCAAGAUGCUGUGUGAAUAGAAAGACUCUCUCCCACACGUACAUGCUCACACACAUGGGUUACUGGCAAUGGCUUUGCCCAUCUUCCCACCUGGGUGGGCUGGUGGUAAGGUGGGAGGCCCCAGAAGUCCCUUUUUCCUACAGUAAUUCAAUCCUGUAAGCCUCGCCUCUUGACUGCAGCCUCCAGAGAGGAGGGCCAGUGUGCUGCUUGCUAGGCAACAAGAGAUGGACCGUGACCUAUGGCAGUGACAGACCUAGUGAUUCAUCACACCAGUCAGCUCAGGAAGGGACAUUUUCCAGGUGGGAGAUUCAUGAGCAAAAGGUAAUCUCUCUGUAAGAGCAGACCUUCAGAGCCAAGUGCAGCUCAGCUGUUUGCUCUGGGAGGGGAGAGAGGGUGCUGGUAACUCCAACCCCCCUCCUGCAGAGCCUGGAUGGCUUGGUGCCGACCCUGACGCCCAGGGCUCUGCCCUCCUCGGGGCUUCUGAACCGGCCCCCGGCACCACCUC
rnacentral:lncRNA from 1 species